ACUCCUACGGGAGGCAGCAGUAGGGAAUCAUCCGCAAUGGACGAAAGUCUGACGGUGCAACGCCGCGUGAACGAUGAAGGUUUUCGGAUCGUAAAGUUCUGUUGUGAGGGAAGAACAGGUUCCGUUCGAAUAGGGCGGAGCUAUGACGGUACCUCACGAGAAAGCCCCGGCUAACUACGUGCCAGCAGCCGCGGUAAUACGUAGGGGGCAAGCGUUGUCCGGAAUUAUUGGGCGUAAAGCGCGCGCAGGCGGUCUCUUAAGUCUGAUGUGAAAUCUUGCGGCUCAACCGCAAGCUGGCAUUGGAAACUGGGAGACUUGAGUGUAGGAGAGGAAAGUGGAAUUCCACGUGUAGCGGUGAAAUGCGUAGAUAUGUGGAGGAACACCAGUGGCGAAGGCGACUUUCUGGCCUACAACUGACGCUGAGGUGCGAAAGCGUGGGGAGCAAACAGGAUUAGAUACCCCGGUAGUCC
rnacentral:rRNA from 1 species